CUGGCCGCCUCCUCUAACUUUGAGCCCCUCUACAACCUGGCUCCCGCCUCUAACGCGCUGGGCCUCCUCGACCAAGCCCCUCAAGUCUCUCUUUGUCUCGCACGUUGUUGGUGUAAUGUGGGCUAAUCCAAAAUUGUCUCUCUCCUCGGAGUGGUUGGCCCAGACUAGAUAUUAGUCACUACAAGAAUGUAUACUAGGCCAGGUGCGGUGGCUCACGCCUGUAAUCCCAGCAGUUUGGGAGGCAGAGGUGGACGGAUCACGAGGUCAGGAGUUCGAGACCAGCCUGGCCAACAUGGUGAAACCCCGUCUCUACUAAAACUACAAAAAAAAAAUAUUAGCUGGGCAUGGUGGUGGGUGCCUGUAAUCCCAGCUACUAGGGAGGCUGAGGCUGGAGAAUCACUUGAACCUGGGAAGUGGAGGUUGCAGUAAGCCAAUCUCGCCACUACACUCCAGCCUAGAUGACAAGAGCAAAACUGCAUCUCAAAAAAAUACAUAAAAUAAAAAAUUAGAAAAACUAGCUGGGCGUGGUAGCGCACGCCUGUAGUCCCAGCUACUCGGGAGGCUGAGGCAGGCAAAUCACCUGAAUCUGGGAGGCAGAGGUUGCAGCGAGCUAAGAUCACGCCACUACACUCCAGCCUGGGCAACAGAGCAAGAUUCUGUCUCAAGAAAAAUAAAUAAAUAAAAAUAAAAUAAAAUGGAGGUUAAAUGAACGUUAUUAUCCAUCAUUUAGAAGCAAAAAGGCUGACCAAGCCCAGUGGCUCAUGCCUGUAAUCCUAGAACUCUGGGAGGCUGAUGAGGCAGGAGGAUUGCUUGAGGCCUAAGAGUUCAAGACCAACCUGGCCAACAUAGUGAGACACCAUCUCUUAAAAAAGUAAAAUAAAGAAGUAAAAAAGUCCUCAGCUUCUCACUGCAGCUCAUCAAAAACCCAGGAAUCAAACUAACAAGCCUUCCCCACCUUUUAGGAAUUCUCCAGUGGUGCAAUCAGUCCAGCCAGCUAAUUAACACUUUAAAAUGUGUAUUUGCCUUGAUGGCUAAAUGUUACUUCUGGAAGCCAAGAGUAAUCUGAGAUAACUCUCCAUAGGAGGGUGCUCACAUCUCAACUCCCGGCUCAUUUAUCCACUCACUGCAGGCAGGAAGCUGAAUUCGA
rnacentral:lncRNA from 1 species